AAACAAAAAAUUUCUAGAGUUCGGUCUUUAAUGCAAAUUUUAAAAUUAAAAUAUUUAGGUUUCAAUACUUUUUCUUUACAAAUUUAAAAAUUAUCAUAUUUAAGUAUUUUUUAGAGAAAAAGACUAGGAUAGCACCAAACCAAGUUUAUGUUCCCAAAGUAGCACUCAAGGUUUAAAGUCACAAAAAUAGGUUUCAUUAAAGAGGUAAAUAUACACUUAUACCCAUUGGGUUAAUUAAUCCAAACCUUAGGGUUUAGAGUUAAGGGGUGGGGUUUUGGAAUUAGGGUUUAAAAUUUUAUAAAAAAAAAUACUAAAAUAAAAAAUAAAAAUUUUAAAAACCGUUUUAAAAAGUAUUUUUAAAUUAUAAAAAGAAAAUUUGAAAAAAAAAUUAAAAAAAAAAUUCGAAAAAAAAAAUUACAAAAAUUUCGAAUCUGAAAACAUAUAAUCUGAAACUAUAAAAAAAAAAAUCUUUUUUUCAUUUUUUUUAUUUUUAUUUUAUUUAUUUUUAUUUGUUUAUUUAAUUUUAAACCAAGGGUAUUAGGGAUAUUUUACCCUUUAAUGAAUGUCAUUUUUGUGAUUUUCUCCUUCUAGUGCUAUUUUUGAGACAUAAACUUCAAAAGGUGCUAUUAUUGACAAUUGCCCUAUUUUUUAUGUUAUAUAAUUUAAUUUUAAACUAUACUAAUAUAUAGUAUAAAUUUGAAAUUUAUAAAAAAAAAAUUUGAAAUUUUUUUCGAAUUUUUUUUAUUUUUUCUCAAAUUUCUUUUUGAAAAACGAAAAAUUAUGUUUGAAACUAUUUUUUAUAUAUUUUUUAAGUAUUUAUUUAAAUAUUUAUUGGAAUCG
rnacentral:lncRNA from 1 species